ACAAUUUCCUUAUUUCUAUUUAAAAUAGAAACACAUUAGUAUACAGUGCUUACAUUUAUUAGACCCCCUGUCAUAAUAAAAAGAAAACACAGAUAUUCGACUGUCAAACACUUGUUUAAAACUAAAAUCUUGGUUUCUGUGAAGGCUUGACUUGACCUCAAAGACACCAUGUCAAGGACUUAGUUCAAAUAUAUCAACAUAAUAUCAAUAGUAUUAUUAUAUGAAAGGAGGUAAAGAGUUUUUUUUUUUUUUUUUUUCUUACUAAACUAAACUAAAGCAGUAGGGCGUGAUGGGCCAUCAACACCUGGCCAUGGGCUGCAGGAUGCUGAUUGGUUGUUUGAUCCGGGGCUGUUGGGUGCUGAGAUGCGAUUGGUUGUCUACCGCUUCAUCUGGACAUCAUUGUGAAAAGUUACCAACAGCUAUUUUUCAGUUUUAUCUGGAAAUCAGUCUAUUGCUUGUGACUGUGAAGACUUACAAGAGUUGUUUUCAGUAUCAUCUGGAGAAUUAUCUGUUCUUUGUGACCAGUAACAGCUUGUUUUGGAUAUUCAGCAUUUGAAAUGGCUUCUGAAAGGUAAGUACUUUCUAUCUAUUAUCUGACUACACCGCAUAGAAUGCUUUACUUAUUUAUUUAUUUUUUUUUUUUUCUUGUUUCCAGUCCAAGAAUCUAAAAAAAAUAUUAAACAAAGAAGCAUUUACUAGAUAAGUAAAAAGUAUUGUGUUGUUUUCUGAAGAAAAAAACAAUCAAAAUUAAGUGAGUUUUUGCUUGAAACAAGCUAAAUUAUCUGGACUGGAAACAAGAAGAAAAAAAAACUAAAGAAAAGCAUUUUUAAAGAAACACACACACACACACACACACUGUGUAGCUGUCUUGUUUUUAUUUGUUAAAAGAUCUUACUGUUAAACAAAAUUUGUGCAAAUUCAGUAAUGUCAUUUUGGGGAUAGUUGAGUCGGUGACACAAAGCUUUCAGGCCAGAGUGAAAAGAUACACAUUUGCACCUUGGCACUACAAUUUGUGUUUUAUUUUUAUAUUUUUGUGAUUGUUUUUGAAGAGUUGUGUCUGAUGUCUACAUGAUGCCUACUUGUUAUUUAGCACAUCUAUAUGCAUUAUUAAACCACUGUUGGUCUUCUUAUUGUUCGCACAGCUCUUUCCACAGCAGGAUCUACUUUCUCUGCUCUCACUGCAAGAAGGCUCCACGCUCCCUUCCUGGGCACCUCAGGACGGCGUGCAUGCGCGACCGCACAGAGGCAGAGAUACAGGCCACUGUGAUUGAAGCCAAGAAAGAGAUGUCUGAAUUUACCCACAAGGGACGUUUCUGGGAUUACCAGCGUAUUCGAGACAUCUUGGCAACUGCUGAUCCUCUUGCCAGGUGUGUAAAUUUUUGCUCCUUUGUCAUGUCCUGUUGCAGUGCAAUACUCAGUGUGUGUGUGUGUGUGUGUGUGUGUAUUCACUGUUAUGUAUUUUAUUUCCUUAGGUUGUUAGAGGAGAUGCAGAAGAAGGGCCUGGUUGUAAUGAACAUACCUCCAGUUCUCCCGGCCCCCCCGCUGCCUGCGCCCUCUCCAGCUACAUCUGCUCCUCAAAGCCCUGGAGAAGGUGCGGACGAGCCAGACGAGGAGCCAGACCGCGAGCCAUCGUCUGAGGAGAGCUCUGGAGAGUUCUAUCAGAGGUAAAGUUUCACAUCAUCAUUCUCAGAUAACAUGUGCAGCGAUUGGACAUGAUUUCUCUUGAACAUAUUCACAAUCAUUUGAGCACCUGGUUUAUUUUCUUUCAGCACUGAGGGACCGAGGUGGACCGAUGAAGUCAGGGUGGAGAUGUCAAAAAAGGGCCUGUACAAGAAACACUCCAUCGAUCACCCCCUCCUUCGGGGAUUUAAUCGAUAUUUGCGUGUUGACUUGGGCAACAAAAAGAGCAAACAAGAGGUAAGUGAAAGAAAAGAUACCUUUAAGUGUCACCCACACACUCACGCUUUCACACAGAAAAAUAAAGAAAUAAAUGUGAAGACAAAUGCUCUUCUGAACUGUGUGCUGCGGUCACAUGUUAACCUGUGUUAUAUUCAGCCCUGCAGAUUUUAAUGUGAAAUGUAUACUUACAGGUGGAAGAAGUCUCCAGGUUCAUGUAUUACGUGGACCCCAGUGAGCCGAACCUGAAUUUUGUGCGGGAGGUGGAGAAAGUGCGAGAGUACUUCAAUACACUGACCCAGACAAAGCUCUCGAAGCAGACGGUGCUGAACUACUGGAAGAGUCUCAAGAGGUCAGUACUGUGUAACGUAAACAUCUCAUCUGAAUUUCAACUAAUAUUUAUGGGAUGAUUAUUCGUCUUCUGACUUCCUGUCUCUCUCUUCAAGGUUCAUGAGGUACAUUGUUACCAGCACCAGCAUCCGUGUCAAAGAUCCCAGCCUGUACAACGACUGCAAGAGCUUCACUGAUCCUCUGGAUGGCAUACGGGCUGGGAUGUCUAAGAAGGUCAACAAGGAGCAGACACAAAAAAGGUCAGUUUUUUUUUUUUUUUUACUCUUUUUUUUUUUUUUUUUUUAUCUAUUUAAUGGAAAGCACAGGUGAGUUCAAGUUCAACAUUACUAUUUUUUUUUUCCCCUCAGAUUCCGCGGCUACGGCAAGGAAAAAUUUCCGGCUGACUGCAUCACAAUCUUGGAUGCUGCUUAUACGGAUUUCCUGGCUGUCAUGGGCAAACUUCAGGGUCCAGGAGCCAUUUCAGGGGAGGAACUCAGCAAAAACGAACGUCUGCUUGUCCUCUAUUAUCUUGAGGCCAUAAUUAUGCUUAAACUUCUACAACGCCCAGGGGUUGUUACGAAUAUGACCGUAAGUGUAUUUUAGUAACAACAGCAUCUUUUAUUUUCCUUUACCCAUAUGCCUCCUGAUCUUGUGCUUCACAGAUGCGUGUACCUUUUGAGUGUUUGUGACGCCUGUCAUUGAAAGCACACAACUGUCUGUUUUCAGGUUGAGGAAUGGAAGGGGAGAACCCGGCAUCCAAACGGAGCUUCCGUGGCGGUGAAGGAGCAUAAAACGGCCGCGUCGCAAAUAGCAGAAGUACCGCUGACUGAUGACCAAGAACAUUGGUUUGGCCUGUACUUCGAUGAGAUUCGGCCGGUGAUGUUACAAGGUAAUAAGUCAGUGGACAAUGCAGCAGCAGAGCAGAGUUUUUUUGUUUCAAGUACUGGAAGGCCAAUUUAUAACCCCUGCAACGACUUGAAAAGAUUCCAUGCCAAAUACAACAUUCCCAGGGUGACCAGCAGCGACGCUCGGACAGCCUUUGAGACGGCUGCUAAAAAUCUGCCGGAGGUGCAGAGGAAUGCGGUGGCACGUCUCUUGGGACACACGCCGGAAACAGCAGAGAAGCAUUACCGGAUGAAAACUCCGGCAGAUGCAUUCCUGGCCAAGGUUGUGGUCGAUGAGCUCACUGCAAAAACACGAGGUGCGUCUAGUGGGGCUUCUGGCCAAGAGAAAAGGAUGGAUGAACAGACGGCGUUUGACUUGCUGGUUCAGUCCUGCCCAGUGACUCUUGACGGGCCUCCUCCGAAAAGGGCACGCAGACACGAACUGUGCGCUGAACACGAGAGGCACUGCUACGACCGCUGGCGCAGCGAGCAGCUCAAGCUGCGUGAACAGCGUGUCCUUGAAUAUUUCGGUCGGUGUCAGCUGUCUGAGUCACAAGUGGAGGCCUGGGUGGAGAAACAAGGAUGGACGUCUAACGUCCCACAGGCUUCCCUAAUACUCAAGAAAUACUCCAAGUAGCCUUGAACAGCUCCCCUGCGGCUCUGUGGGUUACAAAAAUAAAUGUGAGCGGGCUACUUCCAAGCCACAUUAUUUUUGUGCCUACUUUUCAGCCACAAAACACCACCUCUCUUGCUCUCCAAGUUGCCCUGAAUGACUCUGUCUCUUUUUUUAGUACUUUACUCAAAGAUAUGUGAGCGGGCUAAUUUCCAAGCCACAUAUCUCUUCUCUUUGUCUACUUUUUUGUUUUCAGCCACAAAACACCACCUCUCUUGCUCUCCAAGUUGCCCUGAAUGACUCUGUCUCUUUUUUUAGUACUUUACUCAAAGAUAUGUGAGCGGGCUAAUUUCCAAGCCACAUAUCUCUUCUCUUUGUCUACUUUUUUGUUUUCAGCCACAAAACACCACCUCUCUUGCUCUCCAAGUUGCCCUGAAUGACUCUGUCUCUUUUUUUAGUACUUUACUCAAAGAUAUGUGAGCGGGCUAAUUUCCAAGCCACAUAUCUCUUCUCUUUGUCUACUUUUUUGUUUUCAGCCACAAAACACCACCUCUCUUGCUCUCCAAGUUGCCCUGAAUGACUCUGUCUCUUUUUUUAGUACUUUACUCAAAGAUAUGUGAGCGGGCUAAUUUCCAAGCCACAUAUCUCUUCUCUUUGUCUACUUUUUUGUUUUCAGCCACAAAACACCACCUCUCUUGCUCUCCAAGUUGCCCUGAAUGACUCUGUCUCUUUUUUUAGUACUUUACUCAAAGAUAUGUGAGCGGGCUAAUUUCCAAGCCACAUAUCUCUUCUCUUUGUCUACUUUUUUGUUUUCAGCCACAAAACACCACCUCUCUUGCUCUCCAAGUUGCCCUGAAUGACUCUGUCUCUUUUUUUAGUACUUUACUCAAAGAUAUGUGAGCGGGCUAAUUUCCAAGCCACAUAUCUCUUCUCUUUGUCUACUUUUUUGUUUUCAGCCACAAAACACCACCUCUCUUGCUCUCCAAGUUGCCCUGAAUGACUCUGUCUCUUUUUUUAGUACUUUACUCAAAGAUAUGUGAGCGGGCUAAUUUCCAAGCCACAUAUCUCUUCUCCUUGCCUACUUUUUUGUUUUCAGCCACAAAAAAGUAAAAAAAGACCACCAAUACAGAUUUUUUUUUCUUUCAAUAUUCAUAGGCAACUGGAAGUGCACCAGGUAAUGAUACAAAACCUUUAUGCACACUCUCACACACUCACAAACUCACAAAUGCUCCACUAAUCAUUCAAUUCAUUAAGUUGAACUACUGUGAUUUUUUUCUUCAUUGCAGCUACAAAUAACCAAACAUCAGCAGCUCACUCGAGGACCACUACAUGAGGACUCCAGAGAAGAAGAAGAAGAAGACGAAGACGAAGAAGAAGGAGGAGGAGGAUUUGACAGAGGAAGGCGCACGCUGGAUCCAUACGCUGCAUCUCAUUUCGGAGACUGCGUCCUACGGAGGUCGCAUUUGAAGGCUGCAUACGUCAUCAAGGAUGUCUUAUUUAAGAAAAGUAAACGUAAUUAAACAAACUGUUAUUCCUCGUGAGACGUAAAAUACUAUAAUUUCUUUCUUACUUUGCAAUCUAACAGUUAAUUUUUUUUCAAAUGAGACCGCCUCGAUGACAUAUGCAGCCUUCAAAAGUGACCUUCGGAGGACACAGCCUUCAAAACAAGACAGCUAUAAUCAUUAUAUUCUUAUUCUGUACAUACAGAUGCUAUUAUAAUUUUUUGUUCAUGUUUUCAAUCUACGUUUGUCAUUUCUUCUUUUGUUGUUAAUGAUCUGUAUUUGUCAUUAUUCAAGUCUUAUUUGUUGCACUUUAUUAAUCGUGUACCUGUCAUAGGUAUUCAUGUUUAUAUCAGGCAACCAAAAGUUGCAGAGGUCAGAGUGUCAAAAUGCUCAAAGACAAACUAAUUUUGUUAAAACUCUAAUAGAAAGUUGACAUUUUUAUACUUGUAUUGAUUUUUCAUGUU